rnacentral:snoRNA from 1 species
AAGUCAUGAUUUUGGCACUUCCUAAGCAACUCUUUGAAUCUCCCCUAUGUUUCAUGAAAAUUUUCCAUGCUAAACUGCCUAAAUAUGGAGAUUUCAUGCUUCAAUUU